rnacentral:rRNA from 1 species
UGGGGAAUUUUGGACAAUGGGCGCAAGCCUGAUCCAGCAAUGCCGCGUGCAGGAUGAAGGCCUUCGGGUUGUAAACUGCUUUUGUACGGAACGAAAAGGCUCUGGUUAAUACCUGGGGCUCAUGACGGUACCGUAAGAAUAAGCGCCGGCUAACUACGUGCCAGCAGCCGCGGUAAUACGUAGGGUGCAAGCGUUAAUCGGAAUUACUGGGCGUAAAGCGUGCGCAGGCGGUCUUGUAAGACAGUCGUGAAAGCCCCGGGCUUAACCUGGGAACUGCCUUUGUGACUGCAAGGCUGGAGUGCGGCAGAGGGGGAUGGAAUUCCGCGUGUAGCAGUGAAAUGCGUAGAUAUGCGGAGGAACACCGAUGGCGAAGGCAAUCCCCUGGGCCUGCACUGACGCUCAUGCACGAAAGCGUGGGGAGCAAACA